GUGGUGAGGGGGCUCCAUUUUGUCGAACACCCUCCUCUGCUGUGGCGUGUUUGAACAGAACAAUUGUUUAUUUGUUCUUUCUCACGAUCGUUGGGUCACAAAGCAAAGGAGCGUUAAAGGGGGCUUGAUAAAUAGGAUGCUGCUACAGGAGUCCAGGAUGGUCCAAUGUGCUGUGUGCUGGUUCGCUUUGCUCCAGUGGUGUCAUUCAGUAGGAAUAACACAGUACGCUGGUCAAACCUACUAUGUCUGCCUUCGGAAACGUUUCUCUCUUGACUUCUCAUUUGCCCGGCAACAUCCUCUAUUCUAAAUAAACUGUUUGCGAAUAGUUCCUGAAAUAUAAUUUUUGUUUUCAUUUUGAGUGUAUGAACCAAAAUGAGAUGUAGUAGUGGAUGGAGAAUGUGAAAGAUUGACCUCCUAUUAUGUUUGUUGGGGUCAAACUAUGUCAGAUAUAGUAAUUUUCUCCUUUUUCCGGAAAUCCUUUUAUCAGUAAUAUGCAAGAUUACGUAAAAUAGAUAAACAUACAUUGGUUUUGUUUGGGCAGGACCAUGAUGAUGUAAUGGGGGGGGGGGGGUUAGAGAACCCCUUUGUACUGAUAAAAUUGCAUAUUCCUGGCGAAUAAAUGCACACAAUGAUUGCCUCUGAUAAAAAUGUCAUGUUCACUAUAAACAGAAUUGUAACAGUUGAAUUCCGCAUUCUAUGUCUCAAGUAAACAUGUUCUGAAAUACGGAGACAUUGCUGAGAUUACAAACACAAAAGCCAUUUAUUUUCCAUGUUGUCUUUGUAAAUUAAUAUUGAAUUGAGGCCUUGCCAUACAUUUCAGUAUCACUCAGUAUCGCUUCAUAACAGAGCAAUCAAAACAAAAAAUUAUUUUUUAUUUCUUUGAAUCAUAACCAUUGAUUGUAUCAAAUCUCCAUGUUUAUUGAUGCAUAAUAUUAAAUCAUGAGUUUACCACAGUGGUCUGAAAGUUGCGGUAUUUACGUUCACGAUGACUAUUGAAGAACAACAUGCAAACUCCACACAGAAAAGAUGAGGGGGCAAACCCACCUUACCACCGAACAUUGCCCCAACUGCCGGCCUGUAUUGUAAUGUUCGUUGUUUACAAUAGAGUAUCAUUUUUUGUAUUUUAUUUUCCGUUAUAGUAUAUGAUAAACCAGUAGAAUAUAUAUAUAGUUUUUACAUUUGCGUUAAUUCCUGACUCAUUAGAAACAUGCAGCACUGUAAUCGCUUUCUAUGAGGGCCUUUAUUCCAUUGGGUAACGGACAAGGAAGGGUGUGGCCACAAGUUGUCUCCGCCAAUCCGGUCUAUGCAUACUGAGUCUCGGAUCAGCCUCAAAGAUACGAUUUUUGUUCCCAGCUGCCAUUGCGAGGACAGCUUUAUAAAACCAGCGUCAUCGUCUUCCAUCGGUCUCAAUCCUGUGGAACUUCUUGAGGUAUACUUGAAACUGCAUUUUGACGCUGCGAGGUCAACCGUCUCACCAGGUGUAUGAAGGCAAAGUGUUUCUCCAGGAUGAAGAUGCAGAAUACUAAGAUGCAGCGAUCUGACAGCAUGUUCCAUCUUGGCCCACAUGCAGAUGGAACCUCACCUGGGAAGGCACCCUGUGAUGAAACAACCUCAAGGCUGACUUUACUGCUGACUUGAAAAGCGACAGACAUGGUCUUCUGAGCCUGGUCCUCCGCUGUGCCUCCUGAGAAGCUUGAGAAGCGUGGGAGGCGGCGACUUGUCUGUAGGAAAGGCCCUGCGUUUGGUCUGGAAGGAUGAGGGGUUUGAUCCAGAGUAACAAGGUGGUUGUUGAUCCAAUCCAAGGUCCAGCAGUGCCAUGGUGACAUCCAGAAACCUUGUCCCUCUGAAAACAACAUGGUCUAGUCACUAAUGGAUGACGAGGCAAGUUCUUCCCCACAGAUCCUAGUGUGAGGGGACAAAGGUUUCAUGUAUGGACCGGCCCUCUUGGUCCCUUAAUGACCGGUGAGAUGUCGCUAUAGGAACGACGCUGAUGGCAUCAUACAUUUCCAGGCAACUUGAGUCAAGAGUUUGAAACGCGUCUGAAGGCAUCAGUUUGUGGCACAUGUCACUCCAGUGAUGAUGCCAGUGAACUGAACACAUGCAGAGUUGUCCACUGAAAUGUUAGUUGUCAUCCAUGCUGCUCUACCAAGAGCACUGCUAAUCUGUGCUUGUAGCCACAUACCACGUGUAAUUCUUUGUUAAAGCUACUAAUAAAGAUUUUCCU